UACGUAGGGUGCGAGCGUUAAUCGGAAUUACUGGGCGUAAAGCGUGCGCAGGCGGUUCUGUAAGACCGAUGUGAAAUCCCCGGGCUUAACCUGGGAACUGCAUUGGUGACUGCAGAGCUAGAGUGUGUCAGAGGGAGGUGGAAUUCCGCGUGUAGCAGUGAAAUGCGUAGAGAUGCGGAGGAAGCACCGAUGGCGAAGGCAGCUCGCUGGGACGGUGACUGACGCUGAGACGCGAAAGCGUGGGGAGCAAACAGGAUCAGAU
rnacentral:rRNA from 1 species